CCUCUGUGUCCUAUAGGUAACAUGCAUAGUCGCAUUUGUCAUCCAUUCUUAUGAUUAUUCAGAUUGAGUUAUUUUGGGAGAAAAACGACAAAAAAGGAGUCCGGAUAUGAUUCCGUCAUCGGACUGACUUUUAGUCAUAGAUGAGACUUCCGGUUUUAAAGAUGCACAAAUACAACCAAUCGUAUGAUAGAUAACAAAAAUGAAAAAUAAAUAAGCC
rnacentral:lncRNA from 1 species